GGAAAUCUGUGAGGGAAUCAGCUUUGAGCAGAGUAGCUGCAAGCUGAUCUCAAACUGGAUUACUUCCUUGGAACUGACAGAAGUCUCUGUGAAGAAAUCCUUUUGCUCACUCAGACUUUGAGUCUUUUUGCUGUGCCACUGCAGGUAGAUCUAUGCCCUGGACUGCGGCGAUGUGUCAGGAUCAUAAGAACUUCUGUUAUUCAAGGGGAAGAACUUUAGGUCAGCCCUCACAUCUCUAAAGAACCCCAGCCACAGAAAUCCUGGACCUACUGAAGUCAAAUGCCAUUAACUUCAUAGGGGCUGGGAUUUCACCCAUGGUAUUUUCUGUGCCUGAAGCAUUACUGCAGAAUGCACCCAGAAGCACUGUACUCCAGAAUCUAAGUUUUCAUUGAAAAAAAGAAAACAAGUUUCUAGCCCUUAUAGUUUUGAAGAUAAAUCUCAAAAUGUGA